ACAUUUUGUUUGAGUGGUAGGUGUAGUAGAUAGGUAGAUAGGUGACAUUUUGUUGGAGCGGUAGGUGUAGUAGGUAGGUUACAUUUGUUGGAGCGGUAGUUGUGGUAGUUAGGUGACAUUUUGUUGGAGCGGUAGGUGUAGUAGAUAGGUAGGUAGGUGUAGUAGAUAGGUGACAUUUUGUUGGAGCGGU